rnacentral:misc_RNA from 1 species
AACGCACCUUGCGCUCCUUGGUAUUCCGAGGAGCAUGCCUGUUUGAGUGUCAUUAAUAUAUAUAUCAAACUUCUCUUUGUUGAGUGGUUUGGAUGUGGGGGUUUUUUGCUGGGCCCUUGUAAAGGGUUCAGCUCUCCUGAAAUGCAUUAGCAGAACAACCCUGUUCAUUGGUGUGAUAACUAUCUACGCUAUUGAAUGUGAGGGGCAGUUCAGCUUUCUAACAGUCCCUUGGACAAUUCAUCAUUAAUGUGACCUCAAAUCAGGUAGGACUACCCGCUGAACUUAA